UGUUUAGGUAAUUCAUCCCUCGUUAAAUGCUGCUACCAGCAGGAACAUUCCAGCGGGUCGUUUGUUAUUCAGAAUCGAAUAUUCUCGGUUUACUUGAAAGCGUUGCUCAUGUUUUCGAAUAGAAUUCUACGAUCGCGAUGUCGGCGAUGACGCGUCGCCUCAAUCUUUAAAGGAACUUUGUCAUAUCGUUAUUUUGUUGUGGGAGGUGUACUUUUUAUUUCGGGGAGGGAUGAGACAGAGCGUAGGACAACGUGGUCGUCGCUUGCCAAGUGGACGACACAGAAAUAGUAAUGAUUCCCGGAAUUCGUACUAACGUUAGACUUGCGCGGUCUAACCUUUGCGUUAAGGGGAAUUCCCAUAAGGAACGUCACAAAAAUCGUCUUUUUGAAAUCUGUAUUUUCCAAGAAUAUAUAUUCCUGAAAAUUUCAUGUAUCAUAUUUCGUGUUCGACUUAGACAAAAAUAUUCACUUGUCACUCGUCCCAAGGAAAGUACCAUCAACAUUCGCACAAGAUAGCAAACCCUAGUAUCGAUGGCAACCCUAAGUCCAAUAAAAUUCCUAGUAAGAAAUCGUUCAACCCUCAACGCGUCGACUUGGAUAACACACUGUCCCGCUAUUUCGCUUAUGUAUUUCCAAAGCGUUUCAUCGAAUAAAAAUUUCAACGAUUACCUAAACAAUCGCCUUUCCAUUUGGGAAUCUCCUCUUAGGCUGACCAGAGAAAAUCGGAUUAUAACUCACGCGAUCACGAAAGCGCGAAGUGGUCGAGGAUGAUCGGUGGAUCCGUCGAAUUUCGGCUUAUUUUUGAAUUUGGCCGUCGUCCAGAUGCGUUUUGCCGUUGACGUGCAAUGACGUGACGAUGGAAGACACCCAUCGACGCCCACCGUGCGCCACAGAUCUCUGUGAAAACUCCCAUAGUCUUUUUACUCUUUGAAACGCUUUUCCGUGGUUCGUUUCACUCUGAGUUCGGAGAAACGCGAUCGUUCGUGUCCAAGAUUGCCACUUGUAACACGUUGAUUGCCGCAUGAAUAUUUGCGAACAUUUCUGUGAGAAUAAAAUUUCCUUUCGAGAAGAAAUAUAACGUUUAUGGUAGUACACGAUUCAACAGAUGUGCGUUAAAGAAAUUAAAUAAUAUUCAAAGAGGUUAAGGGUUAACGUUGGACCCCUUUAAGGAAUCUCAAGGCAGGGGGCGUAUAAUCGCGGACGCGAUACGAAUUUGUGGUUCUUGUUACGAAUAACAUGCUAGACCUAUAAAUAACGAUGAUGCCAGUUGAUAUUUACGUUUCUAAUAAUAAUGCCACCGAUGCGUUCGCGAUAUCGAGAUCCGCCGUCGCGAUCGAUAUUAUUCUUUGUGAAAAGUGUCGCGUUAUUGAGUCUCCGUCUCCACGAUGGAAUCCAGUGGAAUCCAGUCUGCUUUCUCGUGUUCAUAUAUUUCCUAAAAUCUGCCAGUUGUGUUUCUACCUUGAACGGAGAUAGCGUUUAUAACGUUAACAUUUGGGUUGCCAGUCUCGAGGAACGAACUAUACACUUUCUAGACUGAAAUAUCACGAGCGAUUUGCAUAGCGCUUGCCGCACUACCGUAUUAACGAACAUAAUUGCCAGCGAGCGUAUUAUCGUGUCCAGAAGAUGACGUGCCGCGGUCUUGCGCGGUCGAUCAUUAGCAGUUAAAAUGAAAAUAAUGGCUUCCGGGAAUCAGUUUCACAGACUCAUUCGUGGCCAAGUUCGAAACCUCAAUUACGUAUAGCAACGCGGUGUAUUUCCUGGAGCGUUAGUUGCCCUCUUAAUAAACGUUCCAAUCCCAAAGAGUUAAUAGUAAAACUUGUGCAUAUAAUAAAAAGAUAAACCAAAGUCUAUUCUUAUUUCUCGAUCCGCUCAUUUGGGAUGCUCUUCAUGGGAAACGGUAGCAUAAACGUUUAUUUCGUCCAAGCCUGAGAAAUUUGUCUUUUUCUAUAAUUAUAGCUACAUCAUCGACCGUGUUGAUGUUCAUGUACCAAUGUCGCCGACGUCCUCGCGUUCUUUCUCUACUGGCCGAACUUCAAUGACCAGAUCGCAGUCAUAUAUCAAUCGGACACGGUUAUCUUGUUUUCACCACGCGAGAUCAUCCAACAUUCGCGACAUAAGCCCUAUCCACUCGAAAGUCAACGAUGUACUUAGUAAAUAUUUAUUCGUUUCAGCUGCUGGUUAAAGAUUAACGUCUUGAGAUCCACGAAUAAUACCCGAGCUGGCCUGGGAAGAAUGCAUAAAACCGACGUAUCAAAUUUUCCUCGCGAUCGUGCAAACUGGCCGAUAUAAUACAAAAUAUUAAUAGAAUUGCUCGUAUAUGUGGAAUUAAGUAAUAAUCGUUCUUCCUUACGAUAUCAAAUGUCUCGAUGCUUUCGUCUGGCACUCGUGUUGAUAUUUCCAACACGUAAACCUGGAAAUGCUACAACACAGGCGUCCAUUCAGCGAAUAACUCACUGUCCCAGCAUUGACACUGACGGAAGACCGGACAAUUGGUCCCCCCGCCCUUUCUUUGAUCUCAGAAAUAUCGUUUGCAUCUCAAGGACGCCUUGACGAGGAAGUUGCAAGUUUUCUAAUGACGUCCGCGAUCGCCCACUGCUUCUGGAUGCGAAUCAAGCCCGUGAUUUCCUCGCGUCUAGAAGAGACGCGUACGUCGACUGAGAAAUUCCGACUUUCGUCGAACUCGAGUCUGGAUGAUUAUUUAUUUUCAGCUGGCAAAGCUAACCUGCGACGUUCGCGAUUUCCUACUCAAGGAUUCUUUCGUGUACGCAGCCACUCUGGAUCGUUUCGGGAUAAAUAUCUUUGGCAUCGGGCAGCCUUUCCUCGUCGCUGGAAUAGCUGCCAAAUUCUGCCUAUUUACAAAUCGAGACAUGGCUCGCGUUUAGCUACCGUGUACAUUGAAAACCAUAAAGCUUUCGAUUCAACUGGUUUCUACGUAAACAGUUUUACAGACAACAGCAAAGAGAAAUAAAUACAAUAUUCCCGUUAGUUAGACUGAUUUGAAUAAAGCGUCGCGAGUUGAGCGAACCACGCUUCGCACGACGGUCGCAUAUGCUCGCAUGGUUCACGGUUUAAUUCUGUGCCUCUGUUAUCGAUAAUUUACAACUCUAUUUUAAACAGAUAUUCCUCAUCGCAAGAUGACGAUUAAGUAAGUGAUUAAAUAUAAAUGCACAGAAUUAAUGUCUACAUCUACUAAAUACUUUUAUAAGGCAUGUUUCCACGUGUGCGUAAAGAAUGUGGGUUUACAGUUGUCGGUAAAUAAUAACGCCGCGCCGUUGCUUCGCAAUCAAUUGCCGUGACUGCGUCAGUGAAAGGCCACGCAAAUGACUCGUUAGUUUUGUACGUGACAAAAUGUUGCCGCGCGUGUUCGAAAGGAACGAUCUCUGUAAAGGGUGAAGGAUUCAUCUGCCGUCCACCUUUCCCCAUUGUCGAGGCGUCUACGCGUUACUCACCUGACCAUAAAGAUAACUUUCGUGAAUCAUAAAAGUGACUAUGCAUCGGUGUGCCGUGGGUGUAUCCAUGCGUGGCUCGCACACGUACUCGGAAGCGGAUAGGCGCGUACAGUCGAUGAAUAGCCAACUCGAAUCAUUAACGUUCGAUAUCGUACGCUUUUACGCGCCGCCCAAAAUCGUCGAUAUUUUAGUCGUAGUAAUUCGUUGCCACGGGUUAAUAACGCAGAAGAAGAUAUAGGGGAUGCGAUUUCUGCACCGCUGAGGUCGAUCAUUCUUUCUCUGCUCGGCCACCGUAUACACGCAACGGAAAACACACGAGCGUUCGCGUGCGUGUCGAGCGACGGUUCCCAUGGGAUGCGAAGGAUGUACGCGAUAUUUUCAAGUUUCCCAGCAGUCCCACGGCGACUUCCGGUUCCGCGGCUAGUUAUUCGCUUCCGGUGCCAUGACAAUUUUCCAUCGGCGAGGAUAACGUCUGUGGAAAAAUAAUUGACGCUGUACGAUUCCAUUUCAUCGGACUGGAAAUUGCAAGAACGCGAAGCAGUUAUGUUUUCAUACUUACGUACCGAGCCCAAGAACCAUUGUACAGCAUAAUUUUGUCUCGUUCUCUUGAUUUAUCCGUGUCUCCAAUUACGGUACUUGGUUGCAUAAUGACGAGUGCCUGGAAGACGUCGUAACGUUACAACGAAAACGAAUAAGUGUACACGUAACGGGUAACCGAACGAAACGUUUCUCUACGACCUUGAUCCUUUUUUUCCCCGUGAAAUAUGGCGCAGGUGUUUACCUGGCCGGUCGGGAUGCAACCAGGCCUGUCCGUCCGUCGUGCGCAAGCCAACUUGAAACCGGAAGCGUCGCUUUCUGCCCUGCUGGCCACGAACAAUGAGAUCGAGAGAUUCCUGGGAGGACGCGAGCACGAUCAAACGCUAAGGAUACAUUGACACCGACGUUUCCGGUUGUUUGUGCCUGCCCGAGCGAUCGAUAGAGCGUCGAGACAAUGGAGAAGAUCUUUUCACGGCCAGUGUCGCCGCGUAGUUCGAGUUCGGACGGCAACAGGUGUGAUGCAACAGAGUGGAUACGAAGGAUCUUCCCUCUCGCUUCUCGAUCGUUCCUGCAUCCACGAGGGAACGGGCCGUUUAUUCGAAACACCUAAAAACGCACGAAGGAACAUCGUUAAACCGAAGAAACUGGUUGGCGAUUGGAAAUGGGAUGAAUCGAAGUCGAGAUUUUCACCCUUCGAGCGCUAUGGGCGCAUGUACGGGCAAUUAUCGUUGUUUUU